rnacentral:rRNA from 1 species
GCGGCGUGCUUAACACAUGCAAGUCGAACGGAAAGGCCCUGCUUUUGUGGGGUGCUCGAGUGGCGAACGGGUGAGUAACACGUGAGUAACCUGCCCUUGACUUUGGGAUAACUUCAGGAAACUGGGGCUAAUACCGGAUAGGAGCUCCUGCUGCAUGGUGGGGGUUGGAAAGUUUCGGCGGUUGGGGAUGGACUCGCGGCUUAUCAGCUUGUUGGUGGGGUAGUGGCUUACCAAGGCUUUGACGGGUAGCCGGCCUGAGAGGGUGACCGGCCACAUUGGGACUGAGAUACGGCCCAGACUCCUACGGGAGGCAGCAGUGGGGAAUAUUGCACAAUGGGCGGAAGCCUGAUGCAGCAACGCCGCGUGCGGGAUGACGGCCUUCGGGUUGUAAACCGCUUUCGCCUGUGACGAAGCGUGAGUGACGGUAAUGGGUAAAGAAGCACCGGCUAACUACGUGCCAGCAGCCGCGGUGAUACGUAGGGUGCGAGCGUUGUCCGGAUUUAUUGGGCGUAAAGGGCUCGUAGGUGGUUGAUCGCGUCGGAAGUGUAAUCUUGGGGCUUAACCCUGAGCGUGCUUUCGAUACGGGUUGACUUGAGGAAGGUAGGGGAGAAUGGAAUUCCUGGUGGAGCGGUGGAAUGCGCAGAUAUCAGGAGGAACACCAGUGGCGAAGGCGGUUCUCUGGGCCUUUCCUGACGCUGAGGAGCGAAAGCGUGGGGAGCGAACAGGCUUAGAUACCCUGGUAGUCCACGCUGUAAACGGUGGGUACUAGGUGUGGGGUCCAUUCCACGGGUUCCGUGCCGUAGCUAACGCUUUAAGUACCCCGCCUGGGGAGUACGGCCGCAAGGCUAAAACUCAAAGGAAUUGACGGGGCCCCGCACAAGCGGCGGAGCAUGCGGAUUAAUUCGAUGCAACGCGUAGAACCUUACCUGGGUUUGACAUGGAUCGGGAGUGCUCAGAGAUGGGUGUGCCUCUUUUGGGGUCGGUUCACAGGUGGUGCAUGCCUGUCGUCAGCUCGUGUCGUGAGAUGUUGGGUUAAGUCCCGCAACGAGCGCAACCCUUGUUCACUGUUGCCAGCACGUUAUGGUGGGGACUCAGUGGAGACCGCCGGGGUCAACUCGGAGGAAGGUGGGGAUGACGUCAAGUCCUCAUGCCCCUUAUGUCCAGGGCUUCACGCAUGCUACAAUGGCUGGUACAGAGAGUGGCGAGCCUGUGAGGGUGAGCGAAUCUCGGAAAGCCGGUCUCAGUUCGGAUUGGGGUCUGCAACUCGACCUCAUGAAGUCGGAGUCGCUAGUAAUCGCAGAUCAGCAACGCUGCGGUGAAUACGUUCCCGGGGCUUGUACACACCGCCCGUCAAGUCAUGAAAGUUGGUAACACCCGAAGCCGGUGGCCUAACCGUUGUGGGGGAGCCGUCGAAGGUGGGACUGGUGAUUAGGACUAAGUAGU